GAGUGCAGAAGAGGAAAGUGGAAUUCCAUGUGUAGCGGUGAAAUGCGCAGAGAUAUGGAGGAACACCAGUGGCGAAGGCGACUUUUUGGUCUGUAACUGACGCUGAUGUGCGAAAGCGUGGGGAUCAAACAGGAUUAGAUACCCUGGUAGUCCACGCCGUAAACGAUGAGUGCUAAGUGUUAGGGGGUUUCCGCCCCUUAGUGCUGCAGCUAACGCAUUAAGCACUCCGCCUGGGGAGUACGACCGCAAGGUUGAAACUCAAAGGAAUUGACGGGGACCCGCACAAGCGGUGGAGCAUGUGGUUUAAUUUGAAGCAACGCGAAGAACCUUACCAAAUCUUGACAUCCUUUGACAACUCUAGAGAUAGAGUCUUCCCCUUCGGGGGACAAAGUGACAGGUGGUGCA
rnacentral:rRNA from 1 species